rnacentral:rRNA from 2 species
GGAUAAAGUACCGAAACGAGCGCAACCCUUGUCAUUAAUUGCUACAUUUAGUUGGGCACCUUAAUGAGACUGCCGGUGACAAACCGGAGGAAGGGGGGAUCACGUCAAGUCCUCAUGGCCCUUAUAGGUGGGGCUACACACGUCAUACAAUGGCUGGUACAGAGGGUGCCCACCCGCGAGGGGGAGCUAACCCAUAAAACCAGUCGUAGUCCGGAUCGCAGUCUGCAACUCGACUGCGUGAAGUCGGAAUGUUUUAAGUAAUUCUCCCCCCG